UAUUCUGUUCAAGAUUAAUUAAAUACACUUUGCCAAUUGUGAAGAACAACUUUUCUGACGUUUUUCGACAAAUCACAUUUUAUUUGGGCAAAGACACUUAUCACUAUCAUCAUUGCAUCAUUAAAUAUUUGCAGUCAUUGUUUUGAUCAACAUCUGUUUCUGACAUCCAGGUUCUUCCAGCGGUCUACCAGUCCCCGCUAUAAUUGCUCUGGUUGUCGUGGCUCCACUGCUCCUCAUUGCUGUCAUCUGUUUCUUCUUUCUGCGAAGGAACAAAGGACAUGCAGCCAGGGUGAUCUACGAGGUUCCACACUUUGACUCUGAGCAAGCGGAGACGGAUAAACACAGCACCGGUUCCUCCAGAGGAUCUUCUCAGUGGUGCCAGGUGCCUGUGUAUGAUUCCUUGGACUACUUUGAGCAAGUGGAGACUAAAAGAAGUGAAUAAGGAUUUACUCCAUCAUUAUACCCUACUCUUCAUUCUGUAUAUCAAGUGUAUUCCUUUACCUGAUUCGUGUAAAUUCUUUUGUGUAUGAAUAUAUUUUAUAUUUUAAAAUAAACCAUAUUUUUUUCA